rnacentral:rRNA from 1 species
CCCUUAGAUGUUCUGGGCCGCACACGCGCUACACUGAAGGAGGCAGCGUGUACUCCUGGAUCGAAAGAUUUGGGUAACCCGCGAAUCUCCUUCGUGCUAGGGAUUGAGGUUUGCAAUUAUCCUUCAUGAACGAGGAAUUCCCAGUAAGUGCAAGUCAUAAGCUUGCGCUGACUACGUCCCUGCUUUUUGUACACACCGCCCGUCGCUACUACCGAUUGAAUGAUUUAGUGAGGACUUCGGACUGGGACCGAUGCGGCUUUCGGGCUGCGUCGGUAUUCUGGAAAGAUGUCCAAACUGUAUCAUUUAGAGGAAGUAAAANUCGUANCA